rnacentral:rRNA from 1 species
GCAAGUCGAACGGUAACAGAGAGGUGCUUGCACCUUUGCUGACGAGCGGCGGACGGGUGAGUAAUGCUUGGGAAUAUGCCUUUUGGUGGGGGACAACAGUUGGAAACGACUGCUAAUACCGCAUGAUGUCUACGGACCAAAGUGGGGGACCUUCGGGCCUCACGCCAAGAGAUUAGCCCAAGUGGGAUUAGCUAGUUGGUGAGGUAAAGGCUCACCAAGGCAACGAUCCCUAGCUGGUCUGAGAGGAUGAUC